rnacentral:rRNA from 1 species
AACGAACGCUGGCGGCGUGCUUAACACAUGCAAGUCGAACGCGAAAGUUUUCUUCGGAAGACGAGUAGAGUGGCGCACGGGUGAGUAACGCGUAAGUAAUCUACCCUGGUAUCUGGGAUAACCCACCGAAAGGUGUGCUAAUACCGGAUACGCUGAUUUAUCAGGAAAGGUGGCCUCUUCAUGAAAGCUACUGUACCAGGAGGAGCUUGCGUACCAUUAGCUAGUUGGUAGGGUAAUGGCCUACCAAGGCAACGAUGGUUAGCGGGUCUGAGAGGAUGAUCCGCCACACUGGAACUGGAACACGGACCAGACUCCUACGGGAGGCAGCAGUGAGGAAUAUUGCGCAAUGGGGGAAACCCUGACGCAGCGACGCCGCGUGGAUGAUGAAGGCCUUCGGGUCGUAAAAUCCUGUCAGGUGGAA